AACGAACGCUGGCGGCAGGCUUAACACAUGCAAGUCGAACGCCCCGCAAGGGGAGUGGCAGACGGGUGAGUAACGCGUGGGAACAUACCUUUCCUGCGGAAUAGCUCCGGGAAACUGGAAUUAAUACCGCAUACGCCCUACGGGGGAAAGAUUUAUUGGGGAAGGAUUGGCCCGCGUUGUAGUAGCUAGUUGGUGGGGUAAAGGCCUACCAAAGCGAAGAUCCAUAGCUGGUCUGAGAGGAUGAGCAGCCACAUUGGGACUGAGACAAGGCCCAAACUCCUACGGGAGGCAGCAGUGGGGAAUAUUGGACAAUGGGCGCAAGCCUGAACCAGCCAUGCCGCGUGAGUGAUGAAGGCCUUAGGGUUGUAAAGCUCUUUCACCGAUGAAGAUAAUGACGGUAGUCGGAGAAGAAGCCCCGGCUAACUUCGUGCCAGCCGCCGCCGUAACAC
rnacentral:rRNA from 1 species